rnacentral:rRNA from 1 species
AUGCCCGAGGAAAUGAAGACAAAGUUCGAGAGGUAUUGGAAAGACGUCCAUGGUCUUAUGUCUGUGGCAACAGUCCUUGAUCCGAGAUAUAACCUUUAUAUGUUGCAAGAUUUGUUUGGAUCUCUCUACGGAUUUGAACAUGCAACUAAAGAAGUGGAGAAAACUAGAAAGUUAAUGGGUGAUUUGUUGCAGGAUUAUGAAGCAUCUGAUGGUGGUGUGGGUACCUCGGAGGUAGGUAGAAGUGUUUCUGCGCAAGGUGGUGCUGCAGUAGAUGAAAUGGAGAAUAUAUUUCAACAAUAUAUAUCCUCGAAGCCUGUUACGAGUGCUUCUCGUGUGCGGACAGAACUGGACUUAUAUUUGGAAGAGGAUAUUAUCCAUAGGCCAGAGCGGCUCGACAUCAUCAAUUGGUGGAAGUUUCGAGGUAUCAAGUAUCCUGCAUUGUGAAGAAUGCCUCAUGAUAUACUAGCCAUUCCUAUAACAACUGUGGCAUUGGAAUCUGCCUUCAGUGCUAGUGGGAGAAUACUAAGUGCAUAUAGAUGUUCACUUGCACCAAACAUGACCGAAGCUCUUAUGUGUAUGCAAGCUUGGUCCUAUUGAGACAUGUUAGGUGAUAAUCCAGUUGAAUCAUGA